rnacentral:rRNA from 1 species
GACGAACGCUGGCGGCGUGCUUAACACAUGCAAGUCGAACGGAAAGGCCCUGCUUUUGUGGGGCGCUCGAGUGGCGAACGGGUGAGUAACACGCGAGUAACCUGCCCUUGACUUUGGGAUAACUUCAGGAAACUGGGGCUAAUACCGGAUAGGAGCUCCUGCUGCAUGGUGGGGGUUGGAAAGUUUCGGCGGUUGGGGAUGGACUCGCGGCUUAUCAGCUUGUUGGUGUGGUAGUGGCUUACCAAGCCUUUGACGGAUAGCCGGCCUGAGAGGGUGACCGGCCACAUGGGGACUGAGGUACGGCCCAGACGCCUACGGUAGGCAGCAGUGGAGAAUAUUGCGCAAUGGGCGGAAGCCUGAUGCAACAGCGCCGCGUGCGGGAUGACGGCCUUCGGGUUGUAAACCGCUUUCGCCUGUGACGAAGCGUGAGUGACGGUAAUGAGUAAAGAAGCACCGGCUAACUACGUG